rnacentral:tRNA from 1 species
GCGGGAAUAGCUCAAUUGGUUAGAGCGUAAGCCUUCCAAGCUUAAGGUUGCGGGUUCGAUCCCCGUUUCCCGCUCCA